UUUAAUAGUUAUAGAAAUUACUGAAUUAAAUUGCCCGUGUAAGCUACUUCAGCAGUUUUGGGAAAGGUCCCUGCAGUUUACUUUCCUGCUACAGCCUUUUACCCCAAAAUAUCAUUUAUUCAUACGGUUGACCAUAGAGCGGGUAAUUUUUAUUUCAGUUCAAUUGCUAUCCCUUCCUCCUCCGACUUAUUUGGACAAAGAAAAGCUCUCAGUAGAAAUCGGGUCGCACUAUUUUUUUGUAUUUAAGAAAAAUUCGAGCUCAGCACACGGGGCGGUGAGACAGGCGCUCCCAGGUUUGGUUGUUGUCACCUCGACCGGCUCCGGGCUUUUGAUCUUUCGCGUGUGCGGCGCCACCUUCGGGCUGCACCAGGAAGGACGGCUGGAAAAGGGGGAAAAAAAGUUUCCUUUCGCCCUCCGGUGCAGUUAAAAGUUGCGAGAGUUCGCCACUGAAGUGACAUACUGACAUGCCGAGCAGUACCCGCCUUUCCCGGCUUGUGCAAAUAAGAGUCAGCAAGCUUAGUAACUGAGCUCAGCAUCUGCCUCAUGUGCGAUCGCGGGGAGGGCCAAGGGGGGAGAUGCUUUUAAAAAACCUUCACUCUCCCAUCACGAUCACCUCACUCAAUAAAAGAAAACUUUCUGGGGGACGAUCGGCCGUGCUCCUGGGGCAGCAUGGCGGCUUGUGGCGUUCAGCUUGUAUACAGUGAUCGCAACAUCCAAGAUCAAGGGGCUUUAUGAUCCUGCGAUCUCACUCGCCGCAUUUUCAGCAGCCUUUUACUCGCGCCGCACUAAUAUAUAAAUAUCUAGCAACAAGUUCGAUGGAAGGCACGAUGCAGGCUAACGCCGGGCUGCUGUGGGUUGUUGUGAGUAUAGUUGUGCAAAGUGUUAGCUCCAAGGAGAAUAAUCUCCGAGACACGGGACACUGUGAACUUCCCAAGUCGCAAAGGGAAAUGAAUUCGUUCCUCUGGACGGUCAGACGGGAGCCCCCCGCUUAUUUAUUUGGGACCAUUCACGUGCCCUACACCAGGGUUUGGGAUUUCGUGGCUGACAACUGCAAACGGGCCUUCCAGCACAGCAACAGCGUGUACUUCGAGCUGGACCUCACCGACCCCUACACCAUCUCGGCCCUCACUAGCUGUCAGAUGUUGCCUCACGGCGAGAACCUUCAGGACGUCCUGCCCCAGGAUCUGUACAGGAGGCUCAAGCGCCACCUGGAAUACGUGAAGGUGAUGAUGCCUCUGUGGAUGACCCCGGACCAGAGGGGCAAGGGCUUAUAUGCGGAUUACCUGUUCAACGCCAUCGCCGGCAACUGGGAGAGGAAGCGGCCGGUGUGGGUGAUGCUGAUGGUGAACUCGCUGACCGAGGCGGAUAUCAGGUCCAGAGGGGUACCGGUGCUAGACCUCUACCUGGCCCAGGAGGCCGAAAGGAUGAAGAAGAGGACGGGGGCGGUGGAGCGGGUGGAGGAGCAGUGCCAUCCGCUCAAUGGUCUCAAUUUCUCCCAGGUUCUCUUUGCUUUAAACCAAACUCUUCUGCAACAUGAGAGUCUCCGAGCAGGCAGCUUGCAGGCCCCUUACACUACAGAGGACCUCAUCAAGCACUACAACUGUGGGGACUUGAAUGCUGUCAUCUUCAAUCAUGAUACAUCUCAACUGCCUAAUUUUAUCAACACCACCCUUCCGCCACACGAGCAGGUGACAGCCCAGGAGAUCGACAACUAUUUUCGCCAAGAGUUAAUCUACAAGAGAAAUGAAAGAAUGGGCAAGAGGGUGACAGAGCUUUUGGAGGCAAACCCAGAUAAAAGUUUUUUCUUUGCAUUUGGAGCAGGUCAUUUCCUUGGGAACAACACAGUGAUUGAUGUCCUAAGGCAAGCAGGCUAUGAAGUUGAGCACACUCCUGCAGGGCAGCCAUUUGAACAGAUAAGGACACAGAACACUGGCUCAUCUUCAUCACUUCCAACUGCUACUUUUACUUCCACUGAUGAAUCAUUAGAAAAUUCCUUGCCGGUUCCUUCCCUUUCCUCUCCACCUGCUGACUUGGAUGAUGACAUCAUUUCUCCACACCUCUUGAUGCCCGACAGCCUUAGUCAACUAGAAGAAUUUGGCCGCCAAAAGAAGCGGCAGAAGAAGCUGCCGAAGCAGCAGAGGCAACGGCAGUUUAGUGAUCUGUGGGUUCGCAUUGAAGAGAGUACAACCAUUGUGCCAUCCAAUAUCAGGAUUAUCAAUGGCUACAUCACAGUGGAACCUGCACAUGAACCAUCACAUCAACAGAAGCAGCGUCCCAUCUUCAACUCUACUGCAACAGCCACAGUCCCCUCAGCAACGGCACUCAUCUCUGGGGUGGCCUGCUUAGUCUGGAGUCUGUUGUGGCCCUCGUGACCCACUGAACAUUUUACCUUAACCCAUAACUUGUUUGUUUUAUUUAAGAAAGAAACUUUAAAGAGAUUUUCGAUGUUAGGUGACAGAACUUCUCUCAGUUUCACAUAGGAAGUGCCUUUUUCUCAGCUCAGCAGACUCUCAAGGCCUAAUUGCACCAGGUUCUCCAUGACAAUGCAGAAGAGUACAAGAUGAAAUUCUGAAGCUGGGACAGCCACGAUAUGACAGCGUCUUCUUUUUGUAGAAGGGUAUUUUUCCCCAUGAUGUUAUGGGGCAUUGUAAAUUUACUUUUCAAAGUUUAUUUGUUCACAUGAAUAAUGUAUAUUUAUUCCCCUUCAAAUGUUAAGUUUUUUUGUGUAUAUGAUUCCAUAACAUAUAAAAAGUUCAAAGUUUUACCACAAUCUAACCAGCCAAGAUGAAUUUUCUACCAAAGGUCUCCUAUUAGAUGAAAAAUAUACAAAAAGGUACCUUUUCACCAGCCCUGUUUGCUUUCACAAGUCUUUAAUGAUUCCAUUGAUUAUUCUUUAUAUCCAAGCGCUCUGAAGACAAUUGUUGAAGCUUUGGUACUAAAAACACCAUUAAUGCAGGGAUUGAGAAAGAACAAUUGGAUAUUUUGCUGGAAAAGCAUAGAUAGCCAAUCCACAGCUGAACCAAAUGUAACAGGUGGCCUGUAAUCCUACUCAGCUAGGUUUACACAGUCAUUACAAAAGCUAUACAUCAAUGGCCCUACUUACAUGGAGAUGUGGCUUAACAAGCUGUUGAAUUUGGGCAUUUGCAAGAAAUUCACCGGUUUUACAAUUCCAUUAACAUGUUAUUACGUAAAUAUUAUUCAAAUUUUCCCUGUAAAAGGUAACUUUAUUUGACAGAAAUAUUUUAAUUAUUUGCUAUUUAAAAAUCAUGCUUGAACCAUUAAAAUUUCUACCCAUGGAACCAUUUUGCAUUUUUUUUCUCAUAACAAUCACAAAUUGGGUGGAGAUGUCAAUGUUUUAAAUAUUAUGAAGUUUGAAAAUUAUAAUUCUUGGUUGUAUUCAGUGGAAAAAUGUUAGGGAUUCAGACAGACUGAUUCAUUCCAGGCAGAAUGGUAGAAUGGAAUUAACACAUUCAAUGUAAAUAUGGCCAUAGUUUGCAUUAAUCAUAUGAAUGUAGAAGCAUACCAAACCUGAUCAAGAAUUACUUUGUUUACAGUUCAUGUGACUGUACUUGUCACAAAAUUGUGAUUUUGUUUUUGGAAAAAAAGAUAAUAUAAAGAGUCAAUAAA